rnacentral:rRNA from 1 species
AACGCGAAGAACCUUACCCACUCUUGACAUCCAGAGAAUUCGCUAGAGAUAGCUUAGUGCCUUCGGGAACUCUGAGACAGGUGCUGCAUGGCUGUCGUCAGCUCGUGUUGUGAAAUGUUGGGUUAAGUCCCGCAACGAGCGCAACCCUUAUCCUUUGUUGCCAGCGAGUAAUGUCGGGAACUCAAAGGAGACUGCCGGUGACAAACCGGAGGAAGGUGGGGAUGACGUCAAGUCAUCAUGGCCCUUACGAGUAGGGCUACACACGUGCUACAAUGGCCGGUACAAAGGGCAGCGAAGCCGCAAGGUGGAGCGAAUCUCACAAAACCGGUCGUAGUCCGGAUUGCAGUCUGCAACUCGACUGCAUGAAGCUGGAAUCGCUAGUAAUCGCGGAUCAGAAUGCUACGGUGAAUACGUUCCCGGGCCUUGUACACACCG